rnacentral:tRNA from 1 species
CAAAACAUAGCUUAACYAAAGCAUCUCGCUUACACCGAGAAGACGCCUGAUAAACCAGGUUGUUUUGA